CACCAUGCAUACCACUACCAGCCCCAUCAGCUGUAACUAACAUGCCCACAAUCCCACUUCCUAGGUAUAUCUAUCAUGGAGAAACUUGUAUCUCGAAGCAACCCAAUGUCCAUCAAGAACAGAAUAAAUUGGCCGGGUCGUGCCCACGCUGAGCCGGGAGCCGAAAUGCUUCCUGGUGACGGGAGUGAGCGAUGAGCAGGCUUCUGUUUCUGGCCCACAGAGUCGCCUUGGCCACCGUGUGCUGUCACCCUGCCUAUCACGGGUUCGGGAUGUUCUAUGCCGUGAGAAGGGGCCACAAGACUGGGGUCUUUCUGACCUGGAUUGAGUGCAAGGCUCAGGUGGACCGGUUUCCUGCUGCCAGAUUUAAGAAGUUUGCCACAGAGGAUGAGGCCUGGGCCUUUGUCAGGAAAUCUGCAAGCCCAGAAGCUUCAGAAGGGCAGAAAAAGCAACAUGGACAAGAAUCACAGACGAAAGCCAGCAAGCGACUCCAUGAGCCACUGGAUGCAGAUGGAAAUUAAGGCACAGAGCCGUAUGCAAAGCACUUGAAGCCCAGUGUGGAGCUGGUGCCUCCAGUUAGCAGAGACAUGUUUUCCUACAUGGGAGACUCGGUUGUCGUCUACACAGAUGGCUGCUGCUCCAGUAAUGGGCAGAGGAGGCCACGAGCAGGAAUCAGCGUUUACUGGGGGCCGGGCCAUCCUUUAAAUGUAGGCAUUAGACUUCCUGGGUGACAGACAAACCAAAGAGCAGAAAUUCAUGCAGCCUGCAAAGCCAUUGAACAAGCAAAGGCUCAAAACAUCAAUAAAUUGGUUCUGUAUAGAGACAGUAUGUUUACUAUAAAUGAUAUAACUAUAGUAUAUAGUUCAAGGUUGGAAGAAAAAUGGGUGGAAGACAAGUACAGGGAAAGAGGUGAUCAACAAAGAGGACUUUGUGGCACUGGAGAGGCUCACCCAGGGCAUGGACAUCCAGUGGAUGCACGUUCCUGGUCAUUCGGGGUUUACGGGCAAUGAAGAAGCUAAUAGAUCAGCCAGAGAAGGAGCUAAACAAUCGAAAGACUGACCCAUGUGACGUGAGUCCUUGGGAAAACUUGAGCCAGCGGCUUACUUACUAGUGUGGAAGAGAGCCUGCAGGUGGGACCAUUGCAGUGGAUGGGCAAAUGCAGCUUUCACACGGAAUCAGGGAGGCGCAGUGGCAUUCUGUGACCCAAUUUUAUAAAAAAUCGCUAAGUAUAUAAUAAAUUGAACAUCUUUGAGAUUGGAGAGUUAUGUGAGAUUUCAGCAUUAUGCUUACUGGGUUCCAUACGUUCUUGCUUGUUUUAUUGCAGGCAAGCAAAGCAAAUGGCCUAAAAUGCUGCAGCUUAUAUUUAUUUUGAUAAGAAAUCUAAAAAAAAUUGGUUAAAAGAUGCAACUCAGAAGUCUGGGAGUAUUCUGAAAGCAUCCAUUUACUGUCUGGUUUAUAGGAGUGAGUCUCCUGCUUGUAUAGUGACUUGUGCCUGUGGGUACAUUAGAGAAACGUGCAGCCUGGGGCCUGGGCGGGCAGCUCAGUGGGCAGGAUGUGUGCUGGGUCUCAGCCCCGCAUGCCUGCUUGCAGGGCACUUGGUAUAGGGCAAAGCCUGCCUGCAGGCAACCCUGGCUGCUAGGCCAUUCUCUAGGAACAGUUACAACCUGUAAAGACCAAGAUGUGUAAAUAAGUCUCUCAAAAAUUUAUUUGGUUCUUCUGUUAAAAACUGUGCAAAUUAAAAA